GAGGGUAUAGCUCAGCGGUUAAGUGCAUGCCUAGCACGCAUGAGGUCCCAGGUUCAGUCCCUGGUACCUCCA
rnacentral:tRNA from 1 species